UUGUUGUUGUUGUUGUUUCUGUUCAAAGUUCAGGCAAUGAUAGGCCUUCGGAUUGAUACGUUAACCAGUUAUUGGCAUGGUUGGCUGUAAGCAUGACCUGUGCCCACCCCACGUGUGGUUAAUACUCCAUUGGCAGCUAACCAUAUGUCUCCCCUAGUAGCAGUCUAGACUGUCACACAUCUGGAAAAGGUGUCUUCCCUCUCUCUGCUAGACUGUGCUCAAGUCCCUCUGUAUGAACAUACUCUGACUAAUCUAUCCCCUACCCACGCUGGGCUGACUGGCUUUCCCCUUUUUCCUCCCAUUAAACCCAUGUGAACAUGGUCAUGCCGUGUGUAGAUGCGGAGUCACAAACCCGGAUGACACGUGGCUGUUACAAGAAUGGUUGGUGGCCCCGACUCACCAGCCUGUUGUCCUCUUCAGUGAAGCUGCAUCCAGCUCUUCCGCCAUGUUGUAGGUGACUGCACCUCUGCUACUAACAGUGACUAUUGAAAAGUCUCGCGGGCACUGGAGAAGAGCCGGAGGAUUUGGGGAAGAGCAGCUGUGCUGAUACUAAAUGAAAGCAAAUCCAAAAUACAGGCACACGUACCACUCAUCUUCGCUGCCAGUAGUCG